AUUGAACGCUGGCGGCAGGCCUAACACAUGCAAGUCGAGCGGAUGAAGGGAGCUUGCUCCUGGAUUCAGCGGCGGACGGGUGAGAAUGCCUAGGAAUCUGCCCGGUAGUGGGGGAUAACGUCCGGAAACGGGCGCUAAUACCGCAUACGUCCUGGGGGAGAAAGGGGGGGGUCUUCGGACCCCACGCUAUCAGGUGAGCCUAGGUCGGAUUAGCUAGUUGGUGGGGUAAAGGCCUACCAAGGCGACGAUCCGUAACUGGUCUGAGAGGAUGAUCAGUCACACUGGAACUGAGACACGGUCCAGACUCCUACGGGAGGCAGCAGUGGGGAAUAUUGGACAAUGGGCGAAAGCCUGAUCCAGCCAUGCCGCGUGUGUGAAGAAGGUCUUCGGAUUGUAAAGCACUUUAAGUUGGGAGGAAGGGCAGUAAGUUAAUACCUUGCUGUUUUGACGUUACCAACAGAAUAAGCACCGGCUAACUUCGUG
rnacentral:rRNA from 1 species